rnacentral:rRNA from 1 species
AACGAACGCUGGCGGCAUGCCUAACACAUUCAAGUCGAACGAGACCUUCGGGUCUAGUGGCGCACGGGUGCGUAACGCGUGGGAACCUGCCCUUAGGUUCGGAAUAACUCCCCGAAAGGGGUGCUAAUACCGGAUAAUGUCUUCGGACCAAAGAUUUAUCGCCUUUGGAUGGGCCCGCGUUGGAUUAGCUAGUUGGUAGGGUAAAAGCCUACCAAGGCGACGAUCCAUAGCUGGUCUGAGAGGAUGAUCAGCCACACUGGGACUGAGACACGGCCCAGACUCCUACGGGAGGCAGCAGUGGGGAAUAUUGGACAAUGGGCGAAAGCCUGAUCCAGCAAUGCCGCGUGAGUGAUGAAGGCCUUAGGGUUGUAAAGCUCUUUUACCCGGGAUGAUAAUGACAGUACCGGGAGAAUAAGCUCCGGCUAACUCCGUG